rnacentral:lncRNA from 1 species
ACUUUUUUUUUUUAAAAAGAUUUAUUUAUUUAUGUAUGUGAGUAUACUUUAGCUGUACAGAUGGUUGUGAACCUUCAUAUGGUUGUUGGAAAUUGAAUUUUAGAACCUCUGCUCACUCUGGUCCCACUAGCUCAGGCCCAAAAAUUUAUUAUUACACAUAAGUACACUGUAGCUUACUGCAGAUACACCAGAAGAGGGCACCAGAUCCUAUUGCUGUUGUUGUGAGCCACAGUGUGGUUGCUGGGAUUUGAACUCACCACCUUCGGAAGAGCACUCAGUGCUCUUACCCACUGAGCCAUUUUGACAGCCUGGUUGCACACCUUUAAUCUCAAAUUUUAGGUAAAGGCAGGUGGAUUUAUGAGUACCAGGUCAGUCGAGGCUACAUGAUGAGACCCCUUCUGUACGAAAAAAGAAAAGGUGAGGGUCGUGUGGGACACAUUCUUGAGGCAGAGGCAGACAGAUCUCUCUGAGUUCAAGUUAACUCACAGAGCUAUUGAGCUCAAUAAAUCAAAAGUUAUUUGGCUUAUUGGCCUUGGCAGGUGAAUUUGGGCAAGACGUUUCUGUAUUUUUCCUUGUUUGUUUGCUUCUUGUUUGGGAUAUGAUGAUUAUCCGUGGAUUUUCAUUGGUCAGGGAGAUGCAAAUUUGCUCCAUCAAGCCAUUUUCAAUGAUGUAGAACAAGAAUGGCAAAUGAGGGGCUGGAGGGGUGGCUCAGCGGUUAAGAGCACUGACUGCUCUCCCAGAGGUCCUGAGUUCAAUUCCCAGCAACUCAUAGCCAUCUUUAUUGGGAUCUCAUGCUCUCUUCUCUUCUGGUGUGUCUGAAGACAGCAGCAGUGUACUCACAGACAUGGAAGGAAGGAAGGAAGGAAGGAUGGAUGGAUGGAUGAAUGGAAGAAACAAUCUCCUGGUUAGAACUAUUUAUUCUCCCACCCCUGUUUUGAUGAUGAGUAGCUGAGGUAGUUAACCCCCUACAGUGACAAUUUGCAGCUCUUUAAGAGGUAGCUGGUUUCAAUUGGCCUGCAGUCCACUGUGAGAUUACCUUUCCAUGGCCGAAUAUGAGCUCACACUGGAGGGGUUGACAGAUCCACCCUUGGAGAGAGUCUGCUCAAAGGUUUGGAGUUGGUGCUGGUGGAGGCUAGGUUUAUCCUCAGCUCUGUUUUCUACAUGAUUUUUUUUUUUUUUUGAGGAGUGAGGGAGGGGCUCAUUCAUUUUGACUAGUUUAGCUAACCCAUGGGAAACAGGGCUGCUGAAGAAGAUGUGCAUAUACGCAUGCUUAAGCAGUUUUCUUGAGGCCACACUUCUCGCUGAGCCUGGACUUUUCAGCUUCAGCCUGCUAGCUCGGACGGCCAAUCACUCCGGUCAUAAAUGACUCCAGCACCCAAGAACCUGAGGCAGGAGAGUUAAAAACACAAGUUCGGGGCUGGUUUGAUGGCUCAGUAGGUAAGACUGCCUUUUAAACUGGGCAUAGUGGCAAAUCCGUGCCUUUAAUCUAGCACUUAGAAGGCAGAGGCAGGUAGAUCUCUAAAUUCAAGGCCGCCAGGCUACACAGAGAAACCCUGUCUCCAAAAACUAAAAGAAAAGC